AUUUGUCAAGCAGAUGUGAAAUGAGGCAGAAAACUACUGGAACAAUUGGAGAAAUCUAGAAUAUGAAGUUCCAGCACAAACUUAGAUGGCUUCUAACUAUGUGAAGGCACUAACAAGUGACAGAUGUGGUUGACUCAUCUCCUUCUUGCUUCGACUCUCUAAUGAGCAAUUAAAUAGCCCGAAGCAGAACAAUCAAGAGGUCUGGCAAAUCCACACACUAGAUGAUGAAGAAAUGUACAUCCAAGGAAAAUCAAACCAAGUAAAGGAGGAAAAACUUUGAGUUCUGCUUAAGGUCUAGGACUUCCUAAGGCUCAUUCCAGCUCCUCCAGAUGAAGGCAUUUUCUAAGCAGGAG